CUUAAAAAGUAUAUUUCCCUGCACAUACGUCUUUAAAAUUGCUCUACACAUAAAUUGUAUUAAAAUACUAUAAUAUUUAUAUGCCACAUUUACGAUUUAUAUCCGAAAUAUAAAAUUCAUUUGUUGUUGACACAUAAAUUCUAUAGUUUUCGGCUUUGAAAAUUUUCACAUUCUCAAAAUGGCUACCCUUAGAAAAGUUGGCGUGCUCUUUCCGAUAAUGACCCAAAAAACAAAAAUGAAAUACAUAUUGUUGAUCGUUGUCGGGCGGAUAGCUCAAUUGAAUGGAUUAAUUUGUAAUCUGGCUCAGUAAAGGGUAUCCGACACCAGAUGAAGAAAAUGAGGUGUCCCCAAUUUCUUCGUUUUCGUUCCAGGAUAGAACAAAUAUUUUUAAUUAAUGAAAGGAAUUCGAAGCAACAAGUUUCAUUUUGGAUACAAAAAAAAUAUUUUUUUUUUAAACAUGAGGCCAGAAACCGGAUUUAACAGUAAGUCCAAAUGUUUUA